rnacentral:rRNA from 1 species
AUUGAACGCUGGCGGCAUGCUUUACACAUGCAAGUCGAACGGUAACAGGCCGCAAGGUGCUGACGAGUGGCGAACGGGUGAGUAAUGCAUCGGAACGUGCCCAGUCGUGGGGGAUAACGCAGCGAAAGCUGUGCUAAUACCGCAUACGAUCUAUGGAUGAAAGCGGGGGACCGUAAGGCCUCGCGCGAUUGGAGCGGCCGAUGUCGGAUUAGGUAGUUGGGGGGGUAAAGGCUCACCAAGCCGACGAUCUGUAGCUGGUCUGGCAGGACGACCAGCCACACUGGGACUGAGACACGGCCCAGACUCCUACGGGAGGCAGCAGUGGGGAAUUUUGGACAAUGGGCGCAAGCCUGAUCCAGCAAUGCCGCGUGCAGGAAGAAGGCCUUCGGGUUGUAAACUGCUUUUGUACGGAACGAAACGGUCUGGGUUAAUACCCUGGGCUAAUGACGGUACCGUAAGAAUAAGCACCGGCUAACUACGUGCCAGCCGCCGCCGUAACAC